CUUUUAUUAAAUAUUUAUCUUAAUAGGAGGAUAUAAUAUGUGUAUGGAAUAAGACUGCAUCUGAUUAUGCAACAACAGCACGUAUUAGAGAUACAUUAAGGAGAGUUUUACAUCUUCCAGCAAGUGCCUCAAUGGAAUACAAAACUCAUAAUGAAAGUUUAAAGAAUGUUCAUCGGCUCUAAAAUCUUGUGAUGUCAACUCAAAGAUUUGAAUUCUUUAUGGAUUUUAAGCCAAUUGAUACUUGUGAGAAGAUACUUAGGAGAAAAAUAUUUUACAACUACAGAAUUUAAAUGGUCAUCUUAUUGGAUAACACAUUUAAUUCACAAGUAUCCCCAUUGUAACUUAUGUAAAUAAUAAAUAUAUGUUAAUAAUAAAAAAAUAAUCUUAUUUCCAAAA